GAAAUCCAAAAUUAGACAUCGGAUCGAGUCCAAAUUUUACACACAUGUUGGUGUUAACCUUAACGUCGUUCGAUAAAAAAUUCGGAAAAAUUCGCCAUUAGGGGGCGCAAUAAACGAGGAAAUUGUAUAUCGUCUACAAAAUUUCGCCGCGAAAACGCUACACUGACUUCUCGCUACUCCUACCACAGUCAAAUCCUUUGUAUCCACAGGUUCAGGGUAGCGUUUUGAACACAUGCUUCGCUUUGUGCCGGCGAAACGCACAUUUCUUGUCGCGUUGUGCCGGCGAAAUGCACACUUCUUGGACCCCUGCAUAACUGCUUGCAGUUCUAGUUAGGGGUCCAAGCCAACAGGUUGGAUCCCUAUUGUUUUUGUAAGGAUUUUUCUUCCUAUUAUUAUUAUA
ensembl:lncRNA